GUGUACUGGGGAUAUAGUUAAAGGAGGACCCGGUAUAUAAAGAAAAUCACGUACUCCUGAAAGGCGAGUGACUCAUUAGAAGGUUGAAUGUACGUGGCAGGAGGACAAGGCAAAAACACCUCCAUGUCAUCGUGUGAAAGGGAAGGGAAAGUGAGGAAGGUAAGAGGCAGAGGAGAAAAGGAACUUUGAACCAGACCAUGGACUUCUCAGGAGGUCCUGAACCCUGCAUGUCUGUGCAACCACCAGCUCCAUUCCUUACUCUCAGGGGCCAGGAAGAAUUCUAUUCUCUCUGAAUGCUCUGUUCAAAAAAGUGCCUUGACACAGCAAAGGACCAGGUAAGGGCACCAUGUGGAGCAGGAAAGACAGAAUCAGAAUAUAAACAAACAAGAAAAUGAAUGAGCAAAUGGCUGAAUGAAAGGUCCAAAGAAUGACAACAAACAUUUUAUGGUUUUUAAUGGAGACAUGUACAGAAACU